AUGUUUUGGCGGAUGAGAGACGAUUUUCAGCACUGAUUCCGGAUUUUCGGGAACGAAAGAUUUUACGCUGAGGCAAGGCGGCAAAUGAAGGAAAGGAAGGAGCAUACAGAAGUAUGUGACUGACUUUGCGAAUGCAGCCAACGCAGCAUCGGUGUAAAAGAUUCGUUUCCGGUAACAG
rnacentral:misc_RNA from 1 species